rnacentral:rRNA from 1 species
GACGAACGCUGGCGGCGUGCCUAAUACAUGCAAGUCGAGCGCAGGAAACUGACGGAACUCUUCGGAGGGAAGGCAGUGGAAUGAGCGGCGGACGGGUGAGUAACACGUAAGGAACCUGCCUCAAGGAUUGGGAUAACUCCGAGAAAUCGGAGCUAAUACCGGAUAGUUCAACGGACCGCAUGGUCCGCUGAUGAAAGGCGCUCCGGCGCCACCUUGAGAUGGCCUUGCGGUGCAUUAGCUAGUUGGUGGGGUAACGGCCCACCAAGGCGACGAUGCAUAGCCGACCUGAGAGGGUGAUCGGCCACACUGGGACUGAGACACGGCCCAGACUCCUACGGGAGGCAGCAGUAGGGAAUCUUCCACAAUGGACGAAAGUCUGAUGGAGCAACGCCGCGUGAGUGAUGAAGGUUUUCGGAUCGUAAAACUCUGUUGUAAGGGAAGAACACGUACGAGAGGGAAUGCUCGUACCUUGACGGUACCUUACGAGAAAGCCACGGCUAACUACGUGCCAGCAGCCGCCGUAAGAC